GGGCGAUCUGACUUUGACAUCUGUGACCCUGUUGAUUGCCAGAGUUGAUUUGCCUGAUCUGGCUGUCUAGGCAGGUGUCCCCUGCUCCAUGUGUGUCCCUCCUAAAGCUGCAUGCUUGGUUGAAAAGGGCCACCUUCCUGAUAGAGGAGGACCAUUUUCUGGUCAAAAGUAUACAAGUAGCUGUGCUUCCCUGCCAGAACCUCUAAAGAGACUCUCAGGGUCCAUUUUCAGGAGAACAUGGGGGUAGUUAAACUUCUAAGACUCUGGAUACAUCCAAAUGAGGUGCUGCAUGUGGCAGUCUGCUUAAA
rnacentral:snRNA from 1 species